rnacentral:lncRNA from 1 species
GGAGGGUAGGAAAAGACAUAUUUGGUUAUCUCCAAGUAGAAACUGAAUGUUUCUUCUUCAGAGAAGAUCCUAGAGUACAAGUCUAGAUAGAAAAAGAAAAACUUUUCCUGUCUGCCUAAGAUCUGUCUCUUGCCUGUCCUGCUGUUCCAUUUUGCAGUAUCUUAUGAGAUUCCUAAGAGUAUCCUGGACACAUUGAAGAGAAGGGUGAGCCUUACUCAUUUCCAGUGAGAGAAAUGAGUGAAAUGGGUCUGAUUUACAUCACAGUUCAGCCUUCUGUGGUGAAGUUGGUUUUCCUACUGUGACCUGUGCACUCCGGUCUACCAGCCUGACACUACACGCCAUCUGCUGGUUCCAAACUAUAUAGCUCCAGAGUAACUGCUGACGCUGUUGGGGAACAGAGGACCUGGCCUCCUGAAGAAGCACCAACAGGCCCUCUGCUUCAAGUUGUAGGUGUGAACAAAUCCAGACCACUAAGAGACCCUGCUCCUCAAGAAACCUCAGAGCAGCCUGCUGGUUAGUGAACUAGCUUUGCAUUGAUUCCAAGGAACGAGAGAAGGUUGAUUGUACAUUUAAAUCCUUGCUGACCUGCGACUGGGAGCUAAUGGAAACUGGAAGAAAUGAGGUAGUUCCAAAUGAGUGUCCCCUGAAAUCUUCAGGUCUGCACAUACCACAACCAUCAAGCACAAGCAGACCAAAACAGCAUCAGAAAGGGCCGCCCACUUGGGCUCCUGUAAGCCUUCACGUCUGAGUUCAUGUGGCUCUCACUCAGAAACGGAAGUGGAAAACCAAAUAAAGUCAACUCCACGGAGGUCCUGGGACUUAACACUGAGCAGCCACACGAAUACCAGAGUGAUGCAUCAUGAUUCAUGUUAUUACAAUAAAUGCCUAAG